rnacentral:rRNA from 1 species
AGUCUGCAACUCGACUACAUGAAGCUGGAAUCGCUAGUAAUCGCAGAUCAGAAUGCUGCGGUGAAUACGUUCCCGGGUCUUGUACACACCGCCCGUCACACCAUGGGAGUCGGAAAUGCCCGAAGCCGGUGACCAAACCAAUAAGGAAGGAGCCGUCGAAGGCAGGUCUGAUAACUGGGGUGAAGUCGUAACAAGGUAUC